rnacentral:pre_miRNA from 1 species
AGCCUUCUGUAUCCGUUCUAAGUUUUAGUCACAGUACAGACCACAAGGGCUUAUGAGACUUCCAAGAUAAGUGAAGCG